AUGAUGAUGUCACUGACUCUACUGCUGGCCACCCUGGGGCUCCUUGUUCAGGGUUCAUCAGGACAAGUCAUCCUGACUCAGUCUCCUGGAUCUCAGUCUGUUCUUCCAGGACAGUCUGUCAACUUUAAAUGUAAAGCCAGUGAAUAUGCUGGUCAGAGCUCUAUGCACUGGUACCUUCAGAAACCUGGAGAAGCUCCUAAACUCCUGAUUUAUUCUGUUUCAUCUCGUCAGUCUGGAGUUUCAGAUCGUUUCAGUGGAAGUGGAUCUGGUACUGACUUCACUUUGACCAUCAGUAGAGUUCAGACUGAAGAUUCAGGAGUUUAUUAUUGUCAGCAGAGUUACAGCUCGUUCACACAGUGAAAAACCGUCGUACA